rnacentral:rRNA from 1 species
UACGAAGGGUGCAAGCGUUACUCGGAAUCACUGGGCGUAAAGGGUGCGUAGGCGGUCGGGUAAGUCUGAUGUGAAAUCUCACAGCUUAACUGUGAAACUGCAUUGGAUACUAUCCGGCUCGAGGAAUGGAGGGGAGACUGGAAUACUUGGUGUAGCAGUGAAAUGCGUAGAUAUCAAGUGGAACACCAGUGGCGAAGGCGAGUCUCUGGACAUUUCCUGACGCUGAGGCACGAAAGCCAGGGGAGCAAACGGG